rnacentral:lncRNA from 1 species
AUGGGUGUUAGCUGAGGUGAUCUGAUUUUGUUUAUCAAUUCUAAGCUAGUGCCUGUAUCUCAAGUGCUAUGGUUAUACUGCUAUGUGUUGCAAGGACAAGUAAGAUGAAAAGACAGCAAAUUAAGGCUAUAAGAAGUGACAUAAUAACCUUUUAUGUGACAGUAUAUAUGGCUAUUGCUGUUCUUCCAUUUUUUUCAAGUCCUGGUCUCUGAAAACUACAUGUAAAAGAAACAGGGUGCUUAUUAGGAGUCUUAAAUUUUUUCAGAUUAAGAUGUCCCUUUCUAGAUGACAUGUUUUUGGCAUUAUCUGCAGGCUAAUUGCCCCUUCAAUACUAUGACUUGGGUAACAUAUUGAUGUGAUUUUCUGUAAUGCAUCUUCCUUGAGCCUUUUUAUUACUGACAUUGUGAAACAUUGAUUCCUAACCAUUAGUCCUUAUUUGAAGUGUUAUUCUAUGUUCGCUAGAAACUUCGUAGGCAUUUUUAUAUGCAUCUCUAAUUUGUCUAUCCUCAGAAAAGGAAGUCCUCAUUAUAUUUCAAUUUCCAUUCUUCGUUUAUGAUUUUUAUAAAUAAGGUUUAUAUUUACUACAAAAAUAUAUGGUUUUGGGCACAUGACUUUCAUUGUGUUACAUCUUGUCAACAGCCAUAUUUUGACUAUAUUGUGUUACAUCUCUCAUCUUUUAGAGGUAGGCUGGGGGUGGAUGUGUCAUAGGGACUUGAUGAAGUUCCCUUUUUCAUCAGUUCUUUUAGGUGUGCCUUGUAUACUGUAUGGCUAUUUGGUGGGUGUUCUUGUAUUUUUCCCAUGUAUUUGGGUUGCAGUGCCUUUGUCGUCAGGUUCUUUUAAUAGUUUUCUUCCUGGUUAGAAAAACAGAUUUUAAAAUUGAUCAUAUGUUCAAUUUCAGGUCAAAGAAAAUUCUGCUGCUGCAGGGCCAAGCGCCUCAACAAGUGCUGUUGCUGAUUCUGAGGAAGCGCUUCCCGAUGAGGAUGAGGAGGAUGAUGAUGAGCUGGACAUGGAUGAGUUAAAUGAGCUCGAAGCCAGUUUGUCAAGAACAUCUAUUCAAAUUCGUGAGCCAGGUGUUGAGGCUUCAUCUUGAGCAUUUGAGAGAGAGAGAGAGAGAGGAGAGGAGUGAGAGAGAACUGGCAACUUGCAUGCAUUUUAAGAGGAAUUACCAAAACUGUCCGGCUAGCUAAUUAACAACUUCUAGGGGGAAUAAUCUGUGUUGUAAUUUGGGAUGAUGAUCUUUUCUGUCUUGUACUUUGUUGUGUUUGGUCUGGGAUUACGGCUAAAUAUUUGGUAUAAGGCGGCAUCCAUUUUUUGAUUCAGGCUUUGCCUUUGUUGUCAACAUCAGGUCCUCACCGAGCAUCAGUGCUCAGGAAUUACCUCCGCUUGACAUCUCUGUUAACUUAGGAUCUGGUUGGAUACAUUUUCUGAUUAUGUUUUAAAAAUAAAAAACUUGAAAAUUGAAAAUUUAAGGUAGUAGAAAUUUUUUGAUACCUCAAAUCUUUUUUAAAUCAUUAUUUUUUUUCAUGAUAUGAAGUAUAUGAAACUUAAUGACCCUUAUCUAUUCCCUUGAGCUGAUCUUACACGCAUAAUUUUAGUAGUCAAUGAUCUCAAGUAAGUCUGUUGAUGAUAGGGGGAAAAAUUGGGAGUUUUGGAAGGCACUGAACAUGUUUUCAAGGUCAGGAUUGUAAGCCAACCGAUAUAAUAAUAUUAUUUGGAGUUGGAUUCUUCAGUGUGCAUGGUGGUGCAGUUCUGUAUAUUUUGCUGCUAUGGGUCCUUUGGGGUUGGAUUGGAAUCUCAGUGAGAACUUUAAAACCAUGCAACCCCACUCACAAAGUGACGUCCACUUGUCAUCUCAUCAUAUAUGCCGUGAAAUUGUGUGCUUCUUUUCCUUUCUUUUACUUCUGGAUGGUUAUGUCAUAGAGAUGUGGUUUGCAG